rnacentral:rRNA from 1 species
UGGGGAAUUUUGGACAAUGGGCGCAAGCCUGAUCCAGCAAUGCCGCGUGCAGGAUGAAGGCCUUCGGGUUGUAAACUGCUUUUGUACGGAACGAAAAGGCUCUGGUUAAUACCUGGGGUCCAUGACGGUACCGUAAGAAUAAGCACCGGCUAACUACGUGCCAGCAGCCGCGGUAAUACGUAGGGUGCAAGCGUUAAUCGGAAUUACUGGGCGUAAAGCGUGCGCAGGCGGUUUUGUAAGACAGAGGUGAAAUCCCCGGGCUCAACCUGGGAACUGCCUUUGUGACUGCAAGGCUGGAGUACGGCAGAGGGGGAUGGAAUUCCGCGUGUAGCAGUGAAAUGCGUAGAUAUGCGGAGGAACACCGAUGGCGAAGGCAAUCCCCUGGGCCUGUACUGACGCUCAUGCACGAAAGCGUGGGGAGCAAACA